rnacentral:tRNA from 1 species
GCGGGUGUAGCUCAGAAGGCCAGAGCUGUCGUCUCCAAAGCGACCGGUCGGGGGUUCGAGUCCCUCCACCCGUGCCA